GUAGGAUAGCCUAGUCGUUAGGGUGUUUGACUCCCAGCCGAAAGAUUCUGGGUUCAAACCCUAAUGUCUGCA